AGGAAGUCGCAAAAAAGCUCGGAGCAAACUCGUCUCCUAUUUCGACGAGUUACUAACGUUUGCGCAUAGUCCCUUAAUUUCAAAAUGGACCCCGCCGCCGGAUUGAACGUGAAUCAAAUUGGCAGAGCAGAUGUUAAUUUAAACGGGUUAAUUAAUAGUAUAUUCGGACGGAUAAAGAGUAUUUAUACAGCAGUGCAUUGAGAAUAGUUUGAAAAUCAACGGUAUGGCACUGCGAGUAUAUCACGUUAUUUUGCGAAUGCUCAACCUCUACUCUAACGAUUGUAUGACAGCUCCCAGACGUUUGCACCAGAUGAGAUCCCUAUGCGUGCUGACACUCAAUUAUACAAUUAGUAAAGUGAAUACUACUGGAAGUAAAUGUCACCAUUUCGGAGUAGAAGAAUCAAAGUGCAUCCUCGAGAGCAGAGGGGCUAGAAUGACGGCUAGAACAUUGGAUUCAAUCUAUAGAAGAGUCUUAUCAUACUUGGUUGUUUUUUGAAAUGAAUACUGGAAGCGUUGACCACUGCUAUUCGUUCCAUUCUUCCAGAUCGAACUGUAUUCGUCCCAGGGGAGAAUGCAAAGCUGAAACGACAGAGUGCUUGCGGUAUACGUCAGAUGUUAUUAUUACACCCCUGUGUACCUUGGCGGAAAGUCAGUGCCAGUGUGUCGCUGGGCAAGGUCCAGCUGCCCACCGCGAGCAUGUUGUUGCUCUGCUUCUGAAAACGACACAGAGAGUUUGAGAAAGAGAAAUCAUACUUCCUAGUACAUAUAUCAUUUUAAGAACUGCAAACAUUCCACAACCCAUGGAUAUGAAAUGCAAAUCUGCUGGAGACUUGGAGUUCUACGCAAAAAGAAUCGUAACCACAGGAUCCAAAAUGCGUACAACAACUUUCGUGGAUUUCAUUACAGCCGUAUGCCUUCCAAGCAUACUAUUAUGCCGGUCUUCACCUUCGGCAUAUGAAGCUUAAAUUCGGAUUCCUGAGAUCAAAAUACAUGAGGAUAGCGUGGGGAACCCUUCCAAAAAAAA